rnacentral:rRNA from 1 species
ACAAGCGGAGGAGCAUGUGGUUUAAUUCGUAUGAUACGCGAGGAACCUUACCUGGGCUCGAACGUAAGAUGACUGUAGGUGAAAGCUUACAUCUCUUCGGAGCAUUUUACGAGGUGCUGCAUGGUUGUCGUCAGCUCGUGCCGUGAGGUGUCGGGUUAAGUCCCAUAACGAGCGCAACCCCUACCUUUAGUUGCCAUCAGGUAAUGCUGGGGACUCUAAAGGAACUGCCUACGCAAGUAGUGAGGAAGCGGGGAUGACGUCAAAUCAGCACGGCCCUUACGUCCAGGGCUACACACGUGCUACAAUGGCCGAUACAGAGGGCGGCUACCUGGUGACAGGAUGCAAAUCUCCAAAGUCGGUCUCAGUUCGGAUCGGAGUCUGCAACCCGACUCCGUGAAGUUGGAUUCGCUAGUAAUCGCGCAUCAGCCAUGGCGCGGUGAAUACGUUCCCGGGCCUU